CCGCCAUCACAAUCCUGCAAGCACUUUUAAUGGGGUCUCAGCCUCAAGUGAUGUACUUUUAAAAGGUAAAAUCUUUAUUUGAACUAUAAUUAUCUCACCCCUUUUGACUUUUCUCUCUUCUCCUCAAGUUUGUCUCUUUCUUUUCUCUUCCUGCCUUUUGAAACCCUAAUAAAGCAUUGAACUUCGCUACCCAGAUGUUAUUAUUCACUGGCUUUUCUUUCUUCUACUCAAACUUUUUCUCUUUCCUCUUUCUUCCUGCCUUUUGAAACCCUAAUAAAACAUUGAACUUUUCUAUACCCAGAUGUUAUUAUUCACUACUAUAUAUGCUCAAGAACUCUGCUUUUCCUUUCAAGAAGAUUCAACUCAUAUUGAAAAUUAGUCUUUCAAGCUAGUUAUUUAACUUUGUUAAUGGCUGUAGAUAAGUUCACAGACGAAGUAGAACCAGUUUUACCCGAUUAUCAAUACUCAGAGCCAUCAAAAGAAGGGUUUCUUUUCCGAAACUCAGCCCGGGGAGCCAUGAAAGAUGCAGGCACUGAGGUACAACACAGAGAUAUUGGAACAGAGAUGACACCUCUUGGCAGCUCCACCACUUCAAGAUGCCACACCCCUUUCAAGAGUUCAUCGCCUGCACGUCAUAACACGCCGGCAAAUAGAUCUGGUCCAUUGGCAUUAACUCACCCAACUAGCCCCAACAGCACCAUUGACAUUGCUCAUUUUCAAGAAUGCCAUUUAGCCAAGCUACAAGUUGGCACUCAGUAUGAUUCUAUCACAUCAAAUUGGAGCUCAAGGGAAGAGGAAGAAGAAGAAAUAUCAAAGAGUCUCAGACAUUUUGAAACAGGAAGUGGGCGCAGAACAAGUGUUUCAGAUUCAAGACUUUCUACUUGGGUUGAUGAGGAGAAGACUAAGUGUUGCCUGAGGUAUGGUAAAUUCUUAAAGGGUACAUUUUAAUCAUGUAAAAAUUUUGAGGGUUUAGGCUGUUUUUCUCAGAUACCAGAGAGAAGAAGCAAAGAUCCAAGCUUGGUUAAAUCUUCAAACUGCAAANNNNNNNNNNNNNNNNNNNNNNNNNNNNNNNNNNNNNNNNNNNNNNNNNNNNNNNNNNNNNNNNNNNNNNNNNNNNNNNNNNNNNNNNNNNNNNNNNNNNNNGCGCAUUUUUAUGUAUUUUUAUUUAAAAAUUACCUUAAAAAUAUUUUUUUAUUAAAAGAUUAUAUUGUGUGUCAUCUAAUCAAUAUACCCACAAAAAAUGAGAUGACUAUGCCCUAUGAGCAUGAAGACAAACACAGGACACAGCCUUAACAUUGGCAACUUAUGAAAAACACCCUUGAUAUUCAUUAUUUACAAUAGGCAAAUUUUAAAACUAGAAGACUAAAAAGCUUCCCAAAAAGGGUUCAGAAAAAAUGAAACAGGAAAGAUUUUUCAAAAACUAACCACUUACAUUAUAUCUCUAUUCUUAGGCGGAGGACCCAUUAGACUAUAGUAUAAUCUCUCUGUUCCAUUCCCUCUUCCAAUAACUCUCCACCUCUUUUCCCCCAAGUACUGUUUCGUCUUCUUCUUCCCCAUUUUCUCAAACAAGGCAAGAGCUACAACAUAAUAUCAGUCGUUAUUGUUGUUCUAUUUUAGAAUUAGGGAGUUUAAAGCUCGCUCUUCACUGCAUUGCCUUGUCUAGCUAUACUGUUCUACUGCAAUCUCUCAUGACAAUAUCACUGUUUUCGAUCAAAAUGAUGCGGGCGUAAGCUAUGGAUCUUACAAGUCCCAACUACUUUCAGUCUCCUUCUCUGUUUUCAUCUAAUGGGGUAAGUAAAGAUAAUAACUUUUAGUAAAGAUAAGAACUUUUAGUUUGAUUCUUUUCUGCUCGCAGUUUUCCCCAAUUGGGUUCUGGUUCAUUUUUGUUGUUAAGGAUAUACAAGCACCGCCAUUCUUGUUGCAGGGUAGUCCGAGCUUCUAUGGGAGAAGUGAAGGAAACCCAUUUGCUGCAGAAAACUUCCCUGACCCGCUUUGCAAGCUGAAUCUUAAAGAGACUUCUGAGUUUGUGAAGUCACUGCCUAUGCCGGCGGUUUCAAAUGCGGUUCCUGCUCAGAGGAGGAGAGAUGGAAACUCAGUUACGCAGAGGAGAAUGGAGGCUCCAUCUACACCUGGUAGACCAGUUUUCAGUUUUAAUGCAGGGAAUUUAUCCAGAAAAAGUUUCCCUUCAAAGUGGGAUGAUGCAGAGAAAUGGGUAAUAAGCAAUUCUUGUCAUGAUUCUCCUGCUCAUUCCAUCAAACCACCGCCUCAAUCAUACAAACAAUAUGAUAGCUUUAAGCAUAGAAUGGAGGUGGUGGUGGCAGAGAAAUCACGGGUGACGGAGGAAAAAGUCUCCAAGAUUGUCUCAACUUUCCGAGGAUCUGUAACUUUGGACCACCGCCAUCACAAUCCUGCAAGCACUUUUAAUGGGGUCUCAGCCUCAAGUGAUGUACUUUUAAAAGGUAAAAUCUUUAUUUGAACUAUAAUUAUCUCACCCCUUUUGACUUUUCUCUCUUCUCCUCAAGUUUGUCUCUUUCUUUUCUCUUCCUGCCUUUUGAAACCCUAAUAAAGCAUUGAACUUCGCUACCCAGAUGUUAUUAUUCACUGGCUUUUCUUUCUUCUACUCAAACUUUUUCUCUUUCCUCUUUCUUCCUGCCUUUUGAAACCCUAAUAAAAACAUUGAACUUUUCUAUACCCAGAUGUUAUUAUUCACUACUAUAUAUGCUCAAGAACUCUGCUUUUCCUUUCAAGAAGAUUCAACUCAUAUUGAAAAUUAGUCUUUCAAGCUAGUUAUUUAACUUUGUUAAUGGCUGUAGAUAAGUUCACAGACGAAGUAGAACCAGUUUUACCCGAUUAUCAAUACUCAGAGCCAUCAAAAGAAGGGUUUCUUUUCCGAAACUCAGCCCGGGGAGCCAUGAAAGAUGCAGGCACUGAGGUACAACACAGAGAUAUUGGAACAGAGAUGACACCUCUUGGCAGCUCCACCACUUCAAGAUGCCACACCCCUUUCAAGAGUUCAUCGCCUGCACGUCAUAACACGCCGGCAAAUAGAUCUGGUCCAUUGGCAUUAACUCACCCAACUAGCCCCAACAGCACCAUUGACAUUGCUCAUUUUCA
rnacentral:lncRNA from 1 species